CCUACGGGAGACAGCAGUGAGGAAUAUUGGUCAAUGGGCGCUAGCCUGAACCAGCCAAGUAGCGUGAAGGAUGACUGCCCUAUGGGUUGUAAACUUCUUUUAUAUGGGAAUAAAGUGCAGUAUGUAUACCGUUUCGCAUGUACCUUAUGAACAAGGAUCGGCCAACCCCGCGCCAGCAGCCGCGGUAAUACGGAGGGUUCGAGCGUUACCCGGAUUUAUUGGGCUUAACGUGAGCGUAGGCGGGUUGUUAAGUCAGUUGUGAAAGUUUGUGGCUCAACCGUAAAAUUGCAGUUGAUACUGGCAUCCUUGAGUACAGUAGAGGUAGGCGGAAUUCGUGGUGUAGCGGUGAAAUGCUUAGAUAUCACGAAGAACUCCGAUUGCGAAGGCAGCCUGCUGGAC
rnacentral:rRNA from 1 species